GGACGAACGCUGGCGGCGUGCUUAACACAUGCAAGUCGAACGAUGAACCACUUCGGUGGGGAUUAGUGGCGAACGGGUGAGUAACACGUGGGCAAUCUGCCCUGCACUCUGGGACAAGCCCUGGAAACGGGGUCUAAUACCGGAUACUGACCCGCUUGGGCAUCCAAGCGGUUCGAAAGCUCCGGCGGUGCAGGAUGAGCCCGCGGCCUAUCAGCUUGUUGGUGAGGUAAUGGCUCACCAAGGCGACGACGGGUAGCCGGCCUGAGAGGGCGACCGGCCACACUGGGACUGAGACACGGCCCAGACUCCUACGGGAGGCAGCAGUGGGGAAUAUUGCACAAUGGGCGAAAGCCUGAUGCAGCGACGCCGCGUGAGGGAUGACGGCCUUCGGGUUGUAAACCUCUUUCAGCAGGGAAGAAGCGAAAGUGACGGUACCUGCAGAAGAAGCGCCGGCUAACUACGUGCCAGCAGCCGCGGUAAUACGUAGGGCGCGAGCGUUGUCCGGAAUUAUUGGGCGUAAAGAGCUCGUAGGCGGCUUGUCACGUCGGUUGUGAAAGCCCGGGGCUUAACCCCGGGUCUGCAGUCGAUACGGGCAGGCUAGAGUUCGGUAGGGGAGAUCGGAAUUCCUGGUGUAGCGGUGAAAUGCG
rnacentral:rRNA from 1 species